rnacentral:tRNA from 1 species
AGAGAAGUGGCAGAGUGGUCGAAUGCACUGGUCUUGAAAACCAGCGUGCCGCAAGGUACCGGGGGUUCGAAUCCCUCCUUCUCUGCAA